AAUCAUUGCAUUUUUAUUUUUGUUUAAUUAACUGUAGUAUAUCAAUUGUUGUUAUUCAAAGGAAGGCAUGUUCUCUAACCUGAGCUUCUUUAGGAUUCUGGAUUCAUAGUUUGGACUUUUGCAGUUGUAUCACACAGCCAAAUUGUGCAGUUUCAAUUAAAAACCCUUUUAUUUCUGUCUGCUUCUAGAAAAGCUCACAUUUUUUCUUAGUAGUAGUUUACGGAAAUUAUAAUAUUUAGGCAAACUCGAAUAAACUCUUAAAUUUCCUGUUCAUUCUUUAAGCCUCAGUUGUGAGAUGUCUUAUUAUCAGGUCAAGAUUUAUUCCAGCUAACCAGGUUUUUCAAAUUAUAUCUCUAAAGUUUAGCUAAGGUAGCUGGAAACCUUUAUCUGUUUAAAAUGUCUUCUUGUGUUGGUCCCUUAAUUACAAAUGUAAAAUAAUUGCGAGCCCUUUUGUUCUCCGUCCUGUACCUGAGGAAGGGGCUGAAUCACUUUUGGAACGUAUCCAAGACAGUAGCUGCUUGACUGCACUUGUAGUCUGAGAUCUUUCCUUUCUGUCCAAUCCUUUUUUAACGCUUUAGUUACAUGCUUUUAAAACCUUGCUAUUAAAUCACUGCCAAUAUAUCAAUUAAGAACUUCACACCUUCCAGACUCACGUUGUUUAAAGUUCCCUGACAGUGUUUCCUUAAGGUUCCAGUUUUCCUUCCAACCUUCCGCUCCAAGCAGGACAGAACCUUCCGUUUGGGGCGCUAUCACUCUUCCUAUAAGUAGGGGGAGGCGACUGCCUUAUUUAAUAGCCCAAUAACGAAACCUAACUUGACUCCUGGGCUGCUCAGACUUCCUCUGCCAGGAGCACCGCGCACAAUCUGCAUAAAAGUGACCGCGCUUCGCAGCCCAGUGUCACACCUACUUUGUGCGCGUCUGUGAUGACAUCAUAACAAAACAUACUGGAAUAGAUGCGAGUUUCUCCUUAGUCCAUAGCACGCGUCUUCCCAAUCAGGAAUGACGUUGUCUGAAGCCGCACAUCACGCGCUUCACAGCGCUGCAAACUCCCUCGUGCUAACCGCCAGUCCUGAGCUCCUCCAAUCCCGGCGCCCGCACUCAGCACUCACUCACUUGGAAAUCCAACCUUAGAAGGAGUUCUCUGCUACAACUCGUGUCUGGCUGAGUUUGACGCAGAGACGUCGCCCGUCUUACUAAGCAUCCAGGGCGGCUUUUGCCUUUUAGAAACCCCUCUUGGCGUCAGACUGAGUUGGUCACCUCCCGCCAGUCUGGACGUACUGCACGCGCGCGCUCGCGCGCUCUUAUCGGUCCUCUGGCUUGCACUGAGCAAGCGCGCCGCUUCCACCUGGGCUCAGUCGUCGCCACAAACCCCACUUACGCCAGCGCGCUUCAGACUAACUAGCCGCUCCCCAGGUCGCCCGUGUAGAUCUUUGAUAUCAGUUGUAAAAGAACAGCCGGUUUGGGGGACAAACGCGCCUUCUGUGUGUCCCAAAUCACUUUCCUCCUUAUCUUCUGGGCGGGCCCUCCCCAAAACAAGAGGAGAGACGGUUACGGCACAGACGGGCUCUGAAGCAAUUUCUGCAAAUGACCAAUUAAGGAGCCGCGAACACAAAACUUAGGACGCAGACACACGGUGCAUCCCACGUGACAGUCAUUAAACACGGACUCAGGGAAGCGGGCUUGUAAGAGUUGACGUGUUCACGCAAGAUCUUGAGGAAGAAAGAAAGAAGGGAAAAUCCAUCUUGCUCUUUCCAAGGCGCAUCCCUGUGAGACUGGGACGGGUGGAAAAAGCUUUGGGCUCCACCAGCCUUGUUUGAAAAGGUGACAAGAUAAUGGCGGCUCUGGAGGGAGAUGAGGUCAGACAUCCAGUACCUAUAACUACAGCCCCGACGGGUCCCUGCAUUCUGCAUAGGAUGAAACACAGAAAUCUUCAGUGGCACAGCGGAGAGCCAGGUUCCCCAAUCCUGGACCAACACCCUAUAAAAGAUUCUCUCCUUCUUCAUCCCCCAUGGAGACCCCUAGCCUUCUAUAGACUGUUGGCUCCCCCCUUGCUCUCCCAUCCUCCCCCUCCUACUCCAUGGCCACUGGCCUUCCAUCCCCCUCCUUUCCUCCAAUAAAGCCUUGCUCCAUCA